CGCAGGGUUAAAAACAAAUCAAUGAACAACACACAGCAACAGGGAGUUAGAGGAGGGAACUACGCGUUUUGGGGCAGGGAAAGCAACCGGUUUCCAAGCUCUGCAUUUCGCCCAUGAACACACAGCUGGGUUGAGGGAGCAGGGUCACAAGGAAACUUGAAAGAACAGUCCAUGUCAAAGACCAGAAUUGGUGCAUUUGUAUGGUUCAAAUAAUAAUCUGAUCAUCUGAGUACUGUAUUUCAGGGGACGAGUCUCUCUAAAGUUGACCAUUGAGGUAACAGUUCCGCAGAUCAGAAGAAUGAACUAAGGAGGAGGCUGGUUCAGCUCCAACUGAGGAGGCGGGGUCAACUACAACUGGGGAGGCGGGGUCAACUUCAACUAUGGAGUCGGGGUCAACUUCAACUAUGGAGUCGAGGUCAACUUCAACUGAGGAGGCGGGGUCAACUUCAACUGAGGAGGCGGGGUCAACUUCAACUGAGGAGGCGGGGUCAACUUCAACUAUGGAGUCGGGAUCAACUUCAACUAUGGAGUCGGGGUCAACUUCAACUGAGGAGGCGGGGUCAACUUCAACUGAGGAGGCGGGGUCAACUUCAACUGAGGAGGCGGGGUCAACUUCGACUGAGGAGGCGGGAACAACUUCAACUGAGGAGGCGGGGUCACCUGUAAUGGAAGAUUAGGCAGGCAGGUACCAG
ensembl:lncRNA